rnacentral:rRNA from 1 species
AUUGAACGCUGGCGGAAUGCUUUACACAUGCAAGUCGAACGAUGAACCUUAGCUUGCUAAGGGGAUUAGUGGCGAACGGGUGAGUAAUGUAUCGGAACGUAUCCAAUAAUGGGGGAUAACUAGUCGAAAGAUUAGCUAAUACCGCAUACGUCCUACGGGAGAAAGCUAGGGACCUUCGGGCCUGGCGUUAAUGGAGCGGCCGAUAUCCGAUUAGCUAGUUGGUGGGGUAAAGGCUCUCCAAGGCGACGAUCAGUAGCUGGUCUGAGAGGACGACCAGCCACACUGGAACUGAGACACGGUCCAGACUCCUACGGGAGGCAGCAGUGGGGAAUUUUGGACAAUGGGCGAAAGCCUGAUCCAGCCAUUCCGCGUGAGUGAAGGAGGCCUUCGGGUUGUAAAGCUCUUUCGCAAGGGAAGGAAACUUAAGCUCUAACAUAGCUUGAGGUUGACGGUACCUUGAUAAGAAGCACCGGCUAACUACGUGCCAGCCGCCGCGGUAA